rnacentral:rRNA from 1 species
GUGAGGAAUUUUCCGCAAUGGGCGAAAGCCUGACGGAGCAAUGCCGCGUGAAGGAUGAAGGCCUAUGGGUUGUAAACUUCUUUUCUCAGAAAAGAAUUAUGACGGUAUCUGAGGAAUAAGCAUCGGCUAACUCUGUGCCAGCAGCCGCGGUAAGACAGAGGAUGCAAGCGUUAUCCGGAAUGAUUGGGCGUAAAGCGUCUGUAGGUUGUUUAAAAAGUAUGCUGUCAAAGAUUAGGGCUUAACCCUAGAUAGGCAGAAUAAACUUUUAAGCUAGAGUUUGGUAGAGGCAGAGGGAAUUCCCGGUGGAGCGGUGAAAUGCGUAGAUAUCGGGAGGAACACCAAAGGCGAAGGCACUCUGCUGGGCCAAUACUAACACUGAGAGACGAAAGCGAGGGGAGCAAAUGGGAUUAGAAACCCUUGUAGUCC